UCUUAUUUUUUACUGAUAAGACUUUGAACUUUUCACACUCCAUGGUCUACAGCCAACUGCAAAUCAAAAAGUAAAUUAUUUGAAAGUGACAAUCAAAAAAAAGACUUCAGAUUUCAAAGACUUCGGGUCAGAAUUCUAGGCAGAAGCCGAAUUCCAACUCGAGAGGACAGAGACACCUACAUUGAGAAUUGGGGAAGGAAGUAUUUUUCAUCCUUCAGUGUGAUGGCAACGACAGUGUGAAGCGUCCCUUGCAAGUAAUUUGAGAUGGCAAAUGAUGGUCUGAUUCGGUGAGUAGCGGAGGCUUCGGCCUGCCGUUGUUCUCUUUGAGAUGGUGGUGAAAAAGGACAAAGGAAUUGAAAUACUAUUCAGGAUCCUUAUUGAUCCUCAAUUCUAGUUAUCUGAUUAGUAAAUCAAAAUGAGUAAUCUAUUAUGAGUGCAUAAGUUCUUCUAUUUCUCGAUAUAUAAUUUUUUAAUGUGCGUGUGAUUUUGAGGAUGAUGAUGUUGGAAUAAAUAUUUCUCAGUAUCCAAGAUGCCAUGUGCUUGUGUUGCUUAUGGGUGCUCCAAUAAUGCUUAUAAACUGGAAUGUAGGAAUAAAAAGGUGUCAUUUCGCCAAUUUCCCUUGAAGGAUGAGAAUCUCUUGUCUAAGUGGUUGACAAAAAUUUAAAGGAUUGGCUUUGUGCCAAACAAAUAUAGAAAAAUCGGCUCACAACAGGAAGAAGAGUAAUCAAAAAAAGAUGCUGUGCCAAUUUAGUUCAGUUUUAUUCCCCCAAUGCGUGACAGGAAACGAACAUCAUAUCAAUUCCAGAAAAUAAAGAUUUUUCUAAACAAAGGAUGAAGACAUUGUUGGUUAAAGCAAUGAAAGAUAGAAAAGAAUUGUCUAUGCAGCCACAGAACUCUGAUUCUGAAGAUGGUACUUUGGGCAAGGAUAUGCUCAUCCAGCAGGAACUGAUAUGUGAACUAAAAGCUGAAUGUUCUCGGCUCAAAAAAGAGAGGAUGAAGCCCAAGCAGUGGCAAGUUUAUCUCAAAAAAGAAUAUUAGAACUUGAAAAAGAGUGUGAAAGUCUUCGUGCAGCAAAAGAGAUAGUUGUGGUUUCUGAUAAAAAUCCACCAGAGCUCGAAGAAGUAAAAGAGCUUAUAAGAUUGGAUCGAAACUUACAGCUUCAAGUUCUGGAUAAAAUAGCUUAUGGUAAAUUUAAUGCUUUCAUAACAGACUAUCUAUAAUUUAUGUUUAUUAUUUUUAAAAGAAUUGUGAAUGUCACAAUUCAAACAAUGUUUGUAUACCAGCCGGGUGCAAUUUUAGAGAAAGGCACAUAUCAAUCAAAUUGCCAGUAAAAAAUUUAAUUACGAAGAAGAAAUAAGCGAAUCUGAUUAUGGACAUGCUUUAAAUGUUUUCCAAAUAUUCAAUUCAUAACAUUAGGUAACUAUUGUGAUUUAUAUGUUAAAACCGAUGUAAUUUUAUUAGCAGAUUUAUUGGAAAAUUUUCGAAACGAUUUGCUUACAAACUUACCGUUUGGACCCAUGUUGGUAUUACACAGCUCCCGCUCUUUCUUGUGAUGCGAUGCUAUUCCAUUCAAAAAUAACUUUAGAACUAAUAACAGAUUAUGAUAUGAUUUUAUUCAUUGAAAAAGGUAUUAGAGGUAAAGGUCAAAGA